UACGUAGGGGGCAAGCGUUGUCCGGAUUUAUUGGGCGUAAAGAGCGCGUAGGCGGCCACUUAGGUCCGUUGUGAAAACUGGAGGCUCAACUUCCAGACGUCGACGGAAACUGCGUGGCUAGAGUCCGGAAGAGGAAAGUGGAAUUCCUGGUGUAGCGGUGAAAUGCGCAGAUAUCAGGAAGAACACCAAUGGCGAAGGCAGCUCUCUGGGACGGUACUGACGCUGAGACGCGAAAGCGUGGGGAGCGAACAGG
rnacentral:rRNA from 1 species